AAUCAACGCUGGCGGCGUGCCUAACACAUGCAAGUCGAACGCGAAAGCCCGCAAGGGUAAGUAGAGUGGCGCACGGGUGAGUAACACGUGGACAACCUGCCUUCGAGUGGGGAAUAACCUUCCGAAAGGAGGGCUAAUACCGCAUAACACCUCGGGACACAAGUUCUGGGGUUGAAAAGAGCAAUUUGCUCGAAGAGGGGUCCGCGCCUGAUUAGCUAGUUGGUGAGGUAACGGCUCACCAAGGCUCGAUCAGUAGCCGUCCUGAGAGGGAGCACGGCCACACUGGAACUGAGACACGGUCCAGACUCCUACGGGAGGCAGCAGUGGGGAAUUUUUGGCAAUGGGCGAAAGCCUGACCAAGCAACGCCGCGUGGGUGAUGAAGUAUCUUGGUACGUAAAACCCUUUCGGCAGGGACGAACCUAAUGACGGUACCUGCGGAAGAAGCCCCGGGCUAACUCCGUGCCAGCCGCCGCGGUAAC
rnacentral:rRNA from 1 species